CUGUGGACCGAGCAAAAGAUGUACAAAAAUUUGGUGGACAAGCUAGGAAAGUAAGUUACGGCCCAAGGCAAAGCAUGGCAAAGCAUGGCAAAGCUAGCUUCUGCUCUCCCGAGACCUCCCCUCCGCUUAUUUCCACUAAUUCACCUGUCAAGUCAACCGAAGGAGCGUUUCGACGAGUUGACAAAAUGUCAGCAACAGGUGUCUGCCAGCGCGCGAGGAGCUCAAAAUGUCCCUCGACAACGGCAACAUAGUUUGGUCUCUGGAAAGUUUCCGGUCUGCAAGAACUCACCUUGGGACUCGGGAGGAGAUGCGUCGCUGCCAUCCUGGUCCGCCAUUUCUCCUGACGUCAGCUGAGAGGGAUCAGCGGCAGGAACCCGAGGGACCUGCCGGACUCUAUCCUGAGACAGACGGGACACCCUCCCACGGACAGGUGGGGGACGACACGGGCUAGCAUCAGUGUUAGCAGCGCAAAGCGAACUGAUGAUAUGUGAUAGUUACAACACUGAUGAAUGAACUUUUCAUACCUUUGAUUUGCUUCAGUUUGGGCCACGUCAAACCUCCUGUAGACGUUUAGCCGCAGGAGCCAAACGUCUACUUAUGUCGAGAAAAGGUUCGGUUGGGUCCAUCUCGGGAUGUUUUUACCGCUUUAAACAUCUACGCUCGAAGAGCUUGAGACGGGGAAAUGUGCUGAAGCUAAACUACAUGGGCUACAGGUGUUUAAACGAAGUACCGUGCUGACAUCUACUGGCAGUCAGACUGUAUCAGUAGGGUGAAAUCGUUGCCACGGUCACUUUACCGUUAAUUUGGGGUCUGGGCAAGUUCAAAAAAAUUGUCAGUAGUAAUGGAGGUCAACAUAAAUGAACAUUAGUUUAACCGCAGAAAGGAGAUCGAUUGUAUAUCAAGAUGGACUCAGGAAGGAGGGACCUCCUGUGGCGUGCAGUGGAGCACUUGGUCAUUCUGAGUCUCUUGGCUGAACGGGCUCCCGCGGCCUGCCAGAACACUGUGUAGAGGCUGGGAGACAUUGUCCAUGACGGAGAGGAGUUUUGACAACAUCCUCCUCACCGCCACUGCAUGCAGAGGGUCCGGCUCCACCCCCAGGACUGAGCCAGCCUUCUGAAUCAGCUUGUGGAGUCUGUUCGUGUUGUCUACCCUCGGGGCUUCUUCCCAGCCACUGAAGGACCGUAGCCCCCCCAAGGAAAAAGAUUCGACUCUGGCCCUUUCCCGCAGAGAGCCGUAGAGUUCCUGGUCCAGUCCAGUCCAGUUUGAAAUUUGCAGUUUCUGUGAGCAUAUGCGCAUUUUGAGACUAGUCAUAGCUUGUGUCCACCAUAGGACACAAUUCCUCACAAUGAAAUCUAUACCCCAACGCUUAAUACAGCUAUUAAAGCAGUCUUUCAUAUCAGUACCCCGGUCAGAACAGGUACUAGGGUUAAAGGGUAAUUAGCUCAAGAUUACAAGAAAUUAAAAUGGGAACAUAGUUAACUUAAAGGCCUUGCACACCAACACAGGUAUUUUUUCAAUAACUCUGGUGGUAGAUUACAUCCCGCAAAGUAUAGCAUAAUUACUGCAGAGUUAUGGUGUAAUAAAAAUAAGUAAUUUA